GCGCUUGGCACGUUUUCUUUCCGGACACAUCCAGUGGAUACUGUGCAGACCUUCUCCAGCUAAUCUCAGGAAGGCUGAAGUUUUUAGACGGCUACCCUUCAUAUUUAGGGAGAGAAUAUAACCAUGUGGAAAGUCUAGUCUUCAUGUGGAACAUCUGUUACGAAGAAAUUCUACUUGGAAAGCUUGUCUGCUCUAUUAACCCAUCCCUGUUGCUCACUUGGAAGAAGAGGGCCUUCACUUUCCACUGUAAGAAGAAGGUCUUCUGUUGCUCUGAACGCUUCUGUUUAGAGACCUUUCUUCACUGUCCCCAAGGAGAUCCCAACCUUUUCCAAGCAGAUUUCUGCCAUCUUCACUCAGGCACCUAAUCCAAGCCGAACUGUUUUCCAUCCCAUCGCACAACAGUAUACAGUCUUCAUUGCUCUCUUACAGGAAGUGGUUUUGCUUCCUCCAUCCACGUACACAGCUCUUGAGGACCGAGUCUCUGACCUGCGACUUGUAAAGAUUCUGGGAAGUUUCUAGAGGGGCAAUUCAUGAAAGAAAGACUCAGUAACUUGAAUCUGCAAAUUUCAAAAUGUGGAAAAAGAAUUUUAUCAGUACCAUAGGAUGAGACUGCUUUUACCUAAGAAGAAAGCUCUCAUGGUAUUUGUCAAAUUCCAGAACAGCGAGGGCACAGCCAUUUAUAACAGUUCCUUAUGAAUCCUUUACAUGGUAGUGUGCACACUUGGACCAGCAAAUAUUUAAGAUGAAAUGCUACCCAGGUGAGUCUGUUUCUCAUCUUAUGUAAUUCUCAAAGUAUGUGAAGCAUUCUGAAAGUGUUCCUGCUCUUCUGAGGGCCCCAUUGCUCUCGGUAUUGGAAACCCGGUGCUCUGUGAUGCAGGAAGGGCUCUUGGCUCUGCCUGAGUUUGGGAGCUAUUUUCAGAGUAAGCUUUUAAGUCCUGUUAAUACACAGAAAAUAUCCCCCUUGGGCAGAAGUUAAGAAGGACAGUUCCACACCUAAUUUUAAUAGUGUGAAACCUAGUUUUAAUAAUAAAUGGAUAACUUGACACUAAGUUGGGAAUAGAAAUCACUCUGCUGUAGGCAGAUGUGACAUUUGGAAAGUGAGCUCCAGGAUUGGGCAUGGCAACCAAUUAGGUAUGGGCUUAGAGGUGCAGUAUUGAUGGAUACAUGGUAAGGACAUUCCCAGAAGGUCAGAGCAAUGAAAGCUACAGGGUCUGAAACUGUAAGGAGGUGAAGAGGAGAGCAAAGAAGACAGGAGAAUAAGAGAGGGGAAGAGAGGAGAGGGGAGGGGGGAGAAGAGAAGAGAGAGGGAGGAGAGAGGAGGAGCGGGAAGGGGAGGGGAGAGGAGAGGGAGGGAGGAAAGAGGAGGACAUGGGAGGGGAGGGGAGGAGAGGGGAGUGGAGGGGAGAGAAGAGAGAUUCUUUGAAUAAAUAUUGCAAUAAUGUUAAAGGCCAUAGGGAUAUUGUGAAAUUUUAUAGGUAUGCAUAUUAAUUAUAGGCUGCUAAGGUUUUGAGUUAUAAAUAAUAAAUAACAAAUGUAUACAGCCAGAUUCGCUCAUUUCCACCUCCUAUUCAUAGACAAAAAAUGAGCUUUUUAACAAGUGUAUACCAAGUUUGAGAUCAGUGAGACGAAGUGUGGCCUGUGUCUGGUUCUCUUCCCGUUUCCCGUCUUAGGGACUCCUGCGGGUCCUCGGGGGUCUUAUUUAAAUCUAUAUUCUCUCUUAAUUCUCACUAGUGGAUUACAUCUGAGAAAGAAAGCAAUGAGUACUUGAGGACUCCUGCUACUAGUGUGCCAUGGACCCUCUAUUGCAAUGACAAAAGUGAAAACAUAAAAUGUCAACCUCUGGACCAAUGUGUGGUUAGUGCCACCGCAGCACUGUUGCCCCAGGAUGCCCUGAAUAAACCAUUGUUGUGGUUUCCCUGACAGACAGCUUGUCGGCAAAUGAUCAGUAUUGGCCAUGAUUUCGGGCUAAUUUCAUGGAUGUUUUCCAGUUUCCGUGAUCUUCCGUUCCCGUUUUCCAAACAAAAGUGCUUCUGAAAAUUUCUGUUUAACAUCUUUCACUUUGAAUAAAGAGAACAAGAAACAUUCCCCUCGCA
rnacentral:lncRNA from 1 species